rnacentral:ncRNA from 1 species
UGGAAACGGUUGCUAAUACCCCGUAGGCUGAGGAGCAAAAGGAGAAAUCCGCCCAAGGAGGGGCUCGCGUCUGAUUAGCUAGUUGGUGAGGCAAUAGCUUACCAAGGCGAUGAUCAGUAGCUGGUCCGAGAGGAUGAUCAGCCACACUGGGACUGAGACAACGCCCAGACUCCUACGGGAGGCAGCAGUGGGGAAUUUUCCGCAAUGGGCGAAAGCCUGACGGAGCAAUGCCGCGUGGAGGUGGAAGGCCUACGGGUCGUCAACUUCUUUUCUCGGAGAAGAAACAAUGACGGUAUCUGAGGAAUAAGCAUCGGCUAACUC